UUGAGCUGCGUGCAGGGAAACUUGCACGCGCAGUUCUGAGAGGCGGGCCUGAUGGUGACAUCGGGUUCCUACUCGGC
rnacentral:ncRNA from 1 species